UCCGGAAGGUGCGAGCGUUAAUCGGAAUAACGCGUCGUAAAGCGCGCGUAGGUGCUUGAGUCAGUCAGAUGUGAAAGCCCCGGGCUUAACCUGGGAACUGCACCUGAUACUGCUUGACUAGAGUACGGUAGAGGGCAGUGGAAUUUCCUGUGUAGCGGUGAAAUGCGUAGAUAUAGGAAGGAACACCAGUGGCGAAGGCGACCACCUGGACUGAUACUGACACUGAGGUGCGAAAGCGUGGGGAGCAAACAGG
rnacentral:misc_RNA from 1 species